CUCCUCUCAGGGUCACACCUGGAGAGUUUCCCAGGACUCUACCAGUCUUGGCUAUAGGAGGGAGAGACAAGCAGAAGCCUACCCAUUCCAUUCCUAGCUAGGGCAGUGCCUAGCAAGUGGAAGGCAAUCUGCUACAAGU